rnacentral:rRNA from 1 species
UACAGAGGGGGCAAGCGUUGUUCGGAAUUACUGGGCGUAAAGGGCGCGUAGGCGGCCUGCUAAGUCGAACGUGAAAUCCCUGGGCUCAACCCAGGAACUGCGUCCGAUACUGGUUGGCUUGAAUCCGGGAGAGGGAUGUGGAAUUCCAGGUGUAGCGGUGAAAUGCGCAGAUAUCAGGAGGAACACCAAUUGCGAAGGCAGCUCGCUGGGACGUUACUGACGCUGAGCGACGACGAAGCGUGGGGAGCAACAGG